AGUGAACGCUGGCGGCGUGCUUAACACAUGCAAGUCGAACGAGAACGGGUUAUAGCUUGCUAUAAUUGUCAGCUAAGUGGCGCACGGGUGAGUAAUGUAUAGGUAAUAUGCCUCUUACUAAGGGAUAACAAAUGGAAACGUUUGCUAAUACCUUAUACUCCUUAUUAACAGAAGUUAAUAAGGGAAAGAUUUAUUGGUAAGAGAUUAGCCUGUAUUGUAUCAGUUAGUUGGCGGGGUAAUGGCUUACCAAGACUAUGACACAUAACUGGUUUGAGAGGAUGAUCAGUCACACUGGAACUGAGACACGGUCCAGACUCCUACGGGAGGCAGCAGUGGGGAAUAUUGCACAAUGGACGAAAGUCUGAUGCAGCAACGCCGCGUGGAGGAUGACACAUUUCGGUGCGUAAACUCCUUUUGUAUGAGAAGAUAAUGACGGUAUUAUAUGAAUAAGCACCGGCUAACUCCGUGCCAGCCGCCGCAGUAA
rnacentral:rRNA from 1 species